rnacentral:rRNA from 1 species
GACGAACGCUGGCGGCAUGCCUAAUACAUGCAAGUCGAGCGGACAGAAGGGAGCUUGCUCCUGGAAGCCAGCGGCGGACGGGUGAGUAACACGUGGGCAACCUGCCCUUUAGAUUGGGAUAACUUCGGGAAACCGAAGCUAAUACCGAAUAAUACAAGGAACCUCCUGGUUCUCUGUUGAAAGAUGGCCUUUGUGCUAUCACUAAAGGAUGGGCCCGCGGCGCAUUAGCUAGUUGGUAAGGUAACGGCUUACCAAGGCGACGAUGCGUAGCCGACCUGAGAGGGUGAGCGGCCACACUGGGACUGAGACACGGCCCAGACUCCUACGGGAGGCAGCAGUAGGGAAUCUUCCGCAAUGGACGAAAGUCUGACGGAGCAAUGCCGCGUGAGUGAGGAAGGCCUUCGGGUCGUAAAGCUCUGUUGUGAGGGAAGAACAAGUACCGGCGUAACUACCGGUACCGUGACGGUACCUCACCAGAAAGCCACAGCUAACUACGUGCCAGCCGCCGCCGUAA